rnacentral:pre_miRNA from 1 species
CUAUAAAAUUUUCAUUCAUUUCUAUUGUUAAAAACUGAUGUAGCUAAUGAAAUAACCAGAUAGUUAGAUAGGGUGUGCCACAUGUACCUUAUGCUUAUGUAUAGAGACCAAAUUUUAUUAGUAAAAAUAGAUAAAAUUUUAACAA